UGGGGCGUGGCCAAGCGGUUAAGGCAACGGGUUUUGAUCCCGUGAUCCCUGGUUCGAAUCCAGGCGCCCCAGCCA
rnacentral:tRNA from 1 species